rnacentral:rRNA from 1 species
AGAGUUUGAUCAUGGCUCAGAACGAACGCUGGCGGCAUGCCUAACACAUGCAAGUCGAACGAGACCUUCGGGUCUAGUGGCGCACGGGUGCGUAACGCGUGGGAACCUGCCUUAGGUUCGGAAUAACUCAGAGAAAUUUGAGCUAAUACCGGAUAAUGUCUUCGGACCAAAGAUUUAUCGCCUUUAGAUGGGCCCGCGUUGGAUUAGCUAGUUGGUGGGGUAAAGGCCUACUAAGGCGACGAUCCAUAGCUGGUCUGAGAGGAUGAUCAGCCACACUGGGACUGAGACACGGCCCAGACUCCUACGGGAGGCAGCAGUGGGGAAUAUUGGACAAUGGGCGAAAGCCUGAUCCAGCAAUGCCGCGUGAGUGAUGAAGGCCUUAGGGUUGUAAAGCUCUUUUACCCGAGAUGAUAAUGACAGUAUCGGGAGAAUAAGCUCCGGCUAACUCCGUG